rnacentral:rRNA from 1 species
GAGUUUGAUCGUGGCUCAGGACGAACGCUGGCGGCACGCUUAACACAUGCAAGUCGAACGGUGAAGAGAAGCUUGCUUCUCGGAUCAGUGGCGGACGGGUGAGUAACACGUGAGCAACCUGCCUUUAAGAGGGGGAUAACGUUUGGAAACGAACGCUAAUACCGCAUAAUAUAGAAGAUUCGCAUGUUUCUUCUAUCAAAGAUUUAUCGCUUAAAGAUGGGCUCGCGUCUGAUUAGCUGGUUGGUGAGGUAACGGCUCACCAAGGCGACGAUCAGUAGCCGUACUGAGAGGUAGAACGGCCACAUUGGGACUGAGACACGGCCCAGACUCCUACGGGAGGCAGCAGUGGGGAAUAUUGCACAAUGGAGGAAACUCUGAUGCAGCGAUGCCGCGUGAGGGAAGAAGGUUUUCGGAUUGUAAACCUCUGUCUUCAGGGACGAUAAUGACGGUACCUGAGGAGGAAGCUCCGGCUAAC